rnacentral:lncRNA from 1 species
GAAGAACAGCGGAUGACGUACAAUAGAGGCAAACCCUAGAUUGAAUGGUUUGAUCGGUGAACAUUCUAGGGUUGGGGAUUCAGGAUGUUUUGAUCGGUGGAGAGAAAGAAUUUAAUGAUUGAAUCCAUAGAAUGUAACGAAAAGAGGUUUUAAUCGGGCAAAAGUGAAGAUUUAAUCAGUGAAAAAUGGAUUCUAUGGUGGAUUAGGCUGAGGUAAGGGAGAAAUGUACAGGAGAAUGAAGAUCUCGAUAUUAACCGUGGUUGGCAGAUUAAGAUCUGAGGCGGAGGUUCGAGAGAAAAAUGAAUGUGUGCGGUGGAUCUCUCCAGAAAAUGGCUAAGUAAGAUGUGGUUCACAUAUGAGGAAGCAUCGCAAGCAUUAGUGAAGGGCAAAAGGUCCUCAGAAAUAUCUAAAGAAUGGCUAAACGAAAAUGUGGUACACAUAUGAAGAGGCACCGCAGGCAUUACCGAAGGGUAAAAGGCCCUCGGAAAUAAUCCUUCGGUAAUAAGCACUUUUAUUGUAGUAACACAAUCACAAUCAUCAUUAUUUCUUUCUCUUUACUUACCCUUUUUGUCUUUGUUCUCUUUCUUUCACAAAAAACAGUUCUUCUUUAUAUGUUGUGUUUUGUACUGACACUCCACGUUCUUGUACCGAGACCUAGACUUGCUCCUACUUUUAUCUCUACCACUGUUUUGUUCUUUCUUUUGGCUUCUCCCCCU